rnacentral:rRNA from 1 species
AACGCGAAGAACCUUACCAACCCUUGACAUGGCAGUGACCGUUCCAGAGAUGGUCCUUUCUCGCAAGAGACACUGCACACAGGUGCUGCAUGGCUGUCGUCAGCUCGUGUCGUGAGAUGUUCGGUUAAGUCCGGCAACGAGCGCAACCCACGCCUUUAGUUGCCAGCAUUCAGUUGGGCACUCUAAAGGAACUGCCGGUGAUAAGCCGGAGGAAGGUGUGGAUGACGUCAAGUCCUCAUGGCCCUUACGGGUUGGGCUACACACGUGCUACAAUGGUGGUGACAAUGGGUUAAUCCCUAAAAGCCAUCUCAGUUCGGAUUGUCGUCUGCAACUCGGCGGCAUGAAGUCGGAAUCGCUAGUAAUCGCGUAACAGCAUGACGCGGUGAAUACGUUCCCGGGUCUUGUACACACCG